rnacentral:rRNA from 1 species
AGUGAACGCUGGCGGUAGGCCUAACACAUGCAAGUCGAACGGCAGCACAGUAAGAGCUUGCUCUUACGGGUGGCGAGUGGCGGACGGGUGAGGAAUACAUCGGAACCUACUUUUUCGUGGGGGUUAACGUAGGGAAACUUACGCUAAUACCGCAUACGACCUACGGGUGAAAGCGUGGGAUCUUCGGACCUUGUGCGAUUGAAUGAGCCGAUGUCGGAUUAGCUAGUUGGCGGGGUAAAGGCCCACCAAGGCGACGAUCCGUGGCUGGUCUGGGAGGACGAUCAGCCACACUGGAGCUGAGACACGGACCAGACUCCUACGAGAGGGAGCAGUGGGGAAUAUUAGGCAAUGGGCGCAAGCCUGAUCCAGCCAUACCGCGUGUGUGAAGAAGGCGUUCGGGGUGUAAAGCCCUUUUGUUGGGAAAGAAAAGCAGCAGGUUAAUACCCCGCUGUUCUGACGGUAACCAAAAAAUAAGCACCGGCUAACUUCGUG